AUAUUUUGUAGUCCAAAUGCUUGGACAUUGGCCUCUGUCCUUCUUUUCCAGAGGAGACCAAUCUAUUGAAACCCACUGCAAGAAGGACCAGGGCUCCCCUCCCGAAGAGCUCGAGGCAUCAGCGCUGCGGUUAGCCCUCCCCAGCUCCAGUGCUCCCUGUGCUCUGAGGGACGAAUGUAGACUUCAAGGUCCAUUGCAGAACCACUUCUCUCCACUGUCCUGCAGGCUCACAUGGGCCAACUUACGAGCAACAGGCUGGGGCGGGGGGAGGUCAGGCAAAACUUCAAGGGCGGCAGACUUGGCCCAGUGGUUAGGGUGUCUGUCUCCCACAUGGGAGGUCUGCGGUUCAAACCCCGGGCCUCCUUGACCCAUGUGGAGCUGGCCCAUGUGCAGUGCUAAUGCGCGCAAGUAGUGCCCUGACACCCUGGGGUGUCCCCCGCGUAGGGGAGCCCCAUGGAGCCCCACGCGCAAGGAGUGUACCCCAUAAGGAGAGCCGCCCAGCAUGAAAGAAAGUGCAGCCUGCCCAGGAAUGGUGCUGCACACAAAGAGACCUGACACAACAAGAUGACGCAACAAAAAGAAACGGAUUCCCGUGCCGCUGACAACAACAGAAGCGGACAAAGAAGACGCAGCAAAUAGACACAGAGAAUAGACAACCGGGGCGGGGGGGAAGGGGAGAGAAAUAAAUAAAUAAAUAAAUCUUUAAAAAACAAACAAAAAACUCAAACCAUGUGCAGUUCGCAGUUGCCAGACAAAACGUAUGAUGCGUGGUUUAAUUUGCAUUCCAGAUACACAACAAACAAUUUUUAAAUGUGA
rnacentral:lncRNA from 1 species